GCACUUUAUUAUUUGAUUUUCGCCCUAAUUCUCUUCAGAUUUCUUGGAGAUAAAAAAAAAAAUUUACUGGAGAGAAUUUUUCUUCCCCUCGAUUGAUCUUCUAGGGUUUUAUACAACGAAAGAGAGACAAAUUGCUUAUCAAAUAUCAUUGUGAUCAUGAAGUUUAAGAAAGGAAGCAAGGUGGAGGUGUUGGAUAAGAGAGAAGUGCCCAGCGGCUCUUGGUUGUGUGCCGAGGUCAUCUCGGGUGAUGGAGAUUACUACAGUAUCAAAUAUGAUUGUUAUUCAGAUAAUGCGGGUGUUACAGUCGAAAGAGUACCAAGGGGCGCAAUUAGGCCCCGCCCUCCUUCAGUCUUAUACACAAGGUGUUGGGUUCCUGGUGACAUUGUGGAGGUAUUCGAGAAAAACUCAUGGAAGCUUGCUGAAGUAUUAAAGGUAGUUAAAGGGAAGUAUUUCUUUGUUCGGCUCAUUGGCUACUCUAAGAAACUUCGAGCUCACAUGUCCGAACUCAGGCCACGGCAGGUGUGGGAAGAUAACAGCUGGAUUGUAAUUCAGAAGGAAGGAGGUAAUGAUAGGUUCAUGAACAGCAAGUCUAAAGCAGGAGAUGACAGUAACCGAAUGCCUCAGUCGGGUAUAGAGGGGAAAUCCUCUGGCCAAAAUGAUCAGUUUUCCCACAAAUAUGAAGGUGGUCUUGACGAAUGCGGCUGGGUGACUUUAGAAGGCAAGAAGAGAAGGCAAUGCUUGUACUUGCCUCAGACGGAUACAUGCACUGGAGCUCGCAAGAAGUUGAGAUUUGUCGAGAAAAUGGAGAGGAGUCAGAGAGCCUUGGGGACACUUUCAUCGCAUCUACUUGAAAAGCACGAGCUUAGUCACGAAAAGGAACGUUUGUUGAAGAGCUUGGAAGGCUGUUAGAAGUCAAAGUUUGUAAUGUGUUUAAUCAUGCAUGCUGGAACUGUGCAUAUGAAUGUGCAUUCGAUGCACAAGGGGUUUCAUUUUCAUGGUGAUAAUGUUAGGCCAAAGUUGGAGACUCCUUAAGUUUGUCUUACAUCCAAGAUGAAGGUGGUGACUGCCAUCUAUUUAUAUAUCUUGGAUUGUGAUACUUGUCUCUGACUAUUCCCAUCAGCAUGUGGAGAUCAUUUGGUAUCCUUCUCUACUUCUAUUUCAAAAAAAAUGUUGUGCCUUUACUUCAUGAAUGAAUUACAGUCAGAGAAGCCAAUCAAAAGAUGUACAAACAAAUAAUUGACAUGUACAUGACUCAAAAGGUUUAUUCUAAUCUUUCUCUCAUAAACUUCCGCAUUUUCAUUACUUACUAAUUCUGAUUGUACUGUGCAUGUUUUUGUACUAACCAUUUAGCGAAGUCCUGGUUUCUUUGCUCAAAUUUUGUGUACAGAUAUGAUUGACUAUUUUGUUUAUGUUACAUAAACAAAUAAUGCUUGUGCAUAUGCAAUAGGUAAAAUUCAGUAGUAUGGCUGUCAAUAUCUUAUGACUUGUAAUAUGUAACUAUGAUUCAAUGCUAUAUAUACAGAAAUUGAUGUGUAUCUGAUGCAGGUAUUUGUUAGGUCAAUAUAUCUUGUGGAUAUGGUACAGUUAAUGCAUCUUAUAACAUGAUUCAUAUUUUACAAUAUGCCAUUUUCUAGGGAAGUUGAUUCGAUUUAUAAUUGGAUUUCUUACUCAUUAAAUUAAGAAUGUUCAAGUUUAGUUACAUAUUGCAAGCUUCAGAAUAAUUAACAAAAGAGAACAUCCGAGUCUAACUUGCCUGCCUAGUUAAUGCGCCUACAAAACUAUCAUCAAGCCUACUUUUCUUUCUCCACUUUCUGCCGAAAUUCGAUCAGCCCUUAACUCUCUCACUUCAAUUAGUCAAUCCACAUGUUGGACCUUAUAAUGCGGUGGUUUUGUUAUGUAUAAUCACAGUUGUGAAGGAGGUGAAGAGAAAGAAAUUUGACAUAUAUUUAUCUGUGUGUGUGUGUGUGUCAUGUCUAUCAUAUUGGGAGUCAAUGAUGAAUGGACUUGGGAGAGAACAUGGUCUUUCGAAAGAGAACGCUUGAAUAAUUAUCCAAGGCUGUUUUGAACUUGAAGGAGGACCAAGUAGCUCCAUCAAAAAGGGUAGACAGAUAAAAACCAUUAAUUUCUAGUAGAUGUUAGUAAUUAUUGAUUAAUUAAUUUUUAAUUUGCGAGUAUAUAACGAGCUCUCUAUGCGUAUGCUAUUUGUUGAUAAGGCCUUGACAAAUUUACACGUUGUUACUUGAAGGGAAGAAAAAGUGUAAUAGAGUGGGGAAGAGAUCACUUGAAGAUGAUAAUAGUGAAAAAAAUCAAGAAUGAUUGAUGGAUGUAAGUAUGUGUGCUUUCUUUUCUUUUCUUUUUUCCUUUUUCUUCUUCUUUUUUUCCAUAAGGGUGACAAACUUGGUUUAAAAACUUGCUAGGUUGUCAUCUUAAAUUUCAAUUUUUUUGUACCAUCGAAUUAUCUGUUGUCAUUUCGUUGAAGACCUUAUAUUCUGUCAUUGGACUUUGAUUUUUCCCCCUCCUUAUUCAUGUACUUGUACUUUCUCUCGACAGUUUUUACACUUCUUCAUGGUUAUUGAUCACUCCUUCAUGGUUAUUGAUCACUCCUUGCUUUCAAUUUGUCUAGAUUCUUGUGAAAUAUACGCUUCUCAAUGUAUUAUUUUAACUAAUAUAAGGGUUCUAGCUUAUCUUACGUUGCAGGGUACCAACAUCUAUGGAAAACGAUGUGUUUGCCUAUAUGGCAGGGAACAUGCUAUGUGGCUCUAUGGGACAACUCAAGUGCUGCUGAGAUUGCCACAAGAAGGGUAAGGGAUACUAGUUCUGCAGCAGACUGAUCUGUUGAAAGUUACGAACCUUAACUUACUUUUGCAUUGUUUGUUUUUGUCAGUUACAAUUUAAGAAAGUAGAACAUGCCUAAAGCAGGAAGAUAAUAACGUCAUCUUGUUCGUUUGUUGAAUGUAAUCAUUAGAGUUUUUAGUAGCGGAUAAUAAUUUAUGUGAUCCUUCUAUGCUAUCUUUAAUUUGUCUGGGGUUUUUCAGAAUUGUAUGUUGUCUGUUGAGGAAUUUAAUUGUGAUGCUGAUAUGACCUGCAUGUUCAUUUGUUUGUGUGUGAUCUUUGAGCAGAUUAUUGGCAUGUUUAAAAGAAGAGGGAAGUAUCUGAGUCGAUGGUAGAAGAUAGAUCAUUUGGUUUCCAUCCGUCCGUUUUCAGUGCCGGUGCUUCGUCAACGAUUGCGGAUUCCUGAAGACCUCAUAGUGCUUUCUCUUUCAGCUUAGGUCCAAAGGACUUUAUUCUUCUAGGACUUCUUAGUUGAAGGAACUGUCUUUUUGCUGUCUUACUAUGGAAUAUUGUCACCGGAUAUUUAUUAUCGGUUUGAAAGUCUGUAAGAAUUCUGGUUACUCGCUGCUUACAGGAAAUGAAUUUGAGUUCAAAUUCUGGAUCUUCAAGUCAAAUUCUGUCAAUGAACGGAUUGAUUUAAAAC